rnacentral:rRNA from 1 species
UGAACGCUGGCGGCGUGCUUAACACAUGCAAGUCGAACGAAGCACUUUUAAUUCUUCGGAAGAGGAAGUGACUGAGUGGCGGACGGGUGAGUAACGCGUGGGUAACCUGCCUUAUACAGGGGGAUAACAGUUAGAAAUGACUGCUAAUACCGCAUAAGCCGAUAGAGUCGCAUGACUUAGUCGGAAAAGAUUUAUCGGUAUAAGAUGGACCCGCGUCUGAUUAGCUAGUUGGUGAGGUAAAGGCCCACCAAGGCGACGAUCAGUAGCCGGCUUGAGAGAGUGAACGGCCACAUUGGGACUGAGACACGGCCCAAACUCCUACGGGAGGCAGCAGUGGGGAAUAUUGCACAAUGGGGGAAACCCUGAUGCAGCAACGCCGCGUGAAGGAAGAAGUAUUUCGGUAUGUAAACUUCUAUCAGCAGGGAAGAAAAUGACGGUACCUGACUAAGAAGCCCCGGCUAACUACGUGCCAGCAGCCGCGGUAAUACGUAGGGGGCAAGCGUUAUCCGGAUUUACUGGGUGUAAAGGGAGCGUAGGUGGUAUGGCAAGUCAGAUGUGAAAGCCCGGGGCUCAACCCCGGGACUGCAUUUGAAACUGUCAGACUAGAGUGCAGGAGAGGUAAGUGGAAUUCCUAGUGUAGCGGUGAAAUGCGUAGAUAUUAGGAGGAACACCAGUGGCGAAGGCGGCUUACUGGACUGUAACUGACACUGAGGCUCGAAAGCGUGGGGAGCAAACAGGAUUAGAUCCCCCUGGUAGUCCACGCCGUAAACGAUGAAUACUAGGUGUCGGGAAGCAUAAGCUUUUCGGUGCCGCAGCUAACGCAAUAAGUAUUCCACCUGGGGAGUACGUUCGCAAGAAUGAAACUCAAAGGAAUUGACGGGGACCCGCACAAGCGGUGGAGCAUGUGGUUUAAUUCGAAGCAACGCGAAGAACCUUACCAAAUCUUGACAUCCCUUUGACGUACACUUAAUCGUGUAUUCCCUUCGGGGCAAAGGUGACAGGUGGUGCAUGGUUGUCGUCAGCUCGUGUCGUGAGAUGUUGGGUUAAGUCCCGCAACGAGCGCAACCCUUAUCUUUAGUAGCCAGCAGUUCGGCUGGGCACUCUAGAGAGACUGCCGGGGAUAACCCGGAGGAAGGCGGGGAUGACGUCAAAUCAUCAUGCCCCUUAUGAUUUGGGCUACACACGUGCUACAAUGGCGUAAACAAAGGGAAGCAAAGUCGUGAGGCCGAGCAAAUCCCAAAAAUAACGUCUCAGUUCGGAUUGUAGUCUGCAACUCGACUACAUGAAGCUGGAAUCGCUAGUAAUCGCGAAUCAGAAUGUCGCGGUGAAUACGUUCCCGGGUCUUG